rnacentral:rRNA from 1 species
CCUACGGGUGGCUGCAGUGGGGAAUAUUGCACAAUGGGCGCAAGCCUGAUGCAGCCAUGCCGCGUGUGUGAAGAAGGCCUUCGGGUUGUAACGCACUUUCAGCGGGGAGGAAGGCGGUGAGGUUAAUAACCUCAUCGAUUGACGUUACCCGCAGAAGAAGCACCGGCUAACUCCGUGCCAGCAGCCGCGGUAAUACGGAGGGUGCAAGCGUUAAUCGGAAUUACUGGGGGUAAAGCGCACGCAGGCGGUCUGUCAAGUCGGAUGUGAAAUCCCCGGGCUCAACCUGGGAACUGCAUUCGAAACUGGCAGGCUAGAGUCUUGUAGAGGGGGGUAGAAUUCCAGGUGUAGCGGUGAAAUGCGUAGAGAUCUGGAGGAAUACCGGUGGCGAAGGCGGCCCCCUGGACAAAGACUGACGCUCAGGUGCGAAAGCGUGGGGAGCAAACAGGAUUAGAUACCCGGGUAGUC